rnacentral:tRNA from 1 species
GGGCGUGUAGCUCAGUUGGUAGAGCGUGUCAUUAGCAUCUUCUACCUAUCUUGACAAGGUCUUUGGUUCGAUUCCUAACUCGUCCA